GAUUAAGUUAUUAAGGGCGCACGGUGGAUGCCUUGGCACUAGAAGCCGAUGAAGGACGUUACUAACGACGAUAUGCUUUGGGGAGCUGUAAGUAAGCUUUGAUCCAGAGAUUUCCGAAUGGGGAAACCCAGCAUGAGUUAUGUCAUGUUAUCGAUAUGUGAAUACAUAGCAUAUCAGAAGGCACACCCGGAGAACUGAAACAUCUUAGUACCCGGAGGAAGAGAAAGAAAAUUCGAUUCCCUUAGUAGCGGCGAGCGAAACGGGAAGAGCCCAAACCAACAAGCUUGCUUGUUGGGGUUGUAGGACACUCUAUACGGAGUUACAAAGGACGACAUUAGACGAAUCAUCUGGAAAGAUGAAUCAAAGAAGGUAAUAAUCCUGUAGUCGAAAAUGUUGUCUCUCUUGAGUGGAUCCUGAGUACGACGGAGCACGUGAAAUUCCGUCGGAAUCUGGGAGGACCAUCUCCUAAGGCUAAAUACUCUCUAGUGACCGAUAGUGAACCAGUACCGUGAGGGAAAGGUGAAAAGCACCCCGGAAGGGGAGUGAAAUAGAACCUGAAACCGUGUGCUUACAAGUAGUCAGAGCCCGUUAAUGGGUGAUGGCGUGCCUUUUGUAGAAUGAACCGGCGAGUUACGAUUUGAUGCAAGGUUAAGCAGUAAAUGUGGAGCCGUAGCGAAAGCGAGUCUGAAUAGGGCGUUUAGUAUUUGGUCGUAGACCCGAAACCAGGUGAUCUACCCUUGGUCAGGUUGAAGUUCAGGUAACACUGAAUGGAGGACCGAACCGACUUACGUUGAAAAGUGAGCGGAUGAACUGAGGGUAGCGGAGAAAUUCCAAUCGAACCUGGAGAUAGCUGGUUCUCUCCGAAAUAGCUUUAGGGCUAGCCUCAAGUGAUGAUUAUUGGAGGUAGAGCACUGUUUGGAC
rnacentral:rRNA from 1 species